rnacentral:rRNA from 1 species
UCUACGGGAGGCAGCAGUGAGGAAUAUUGGUCAAUGGUCGGGAGACUGAACCAGCCAAGCCGCGUGAGGGAUGAAGGUACAGAGUAUCGUAAACCUCUUUUGUCAGGGAACAAAGGCGGGGACGUGUCCCCGGAUGAGUGUACCUGAAGAAAAAGCAUCGGCUAACUCCGUGCCAGCAGCCGCGGUAAUACGGAGGAUGCGAGCGUUAUCCGGAUUUAUUGGGUUUAACGGGUGCGCAGGCGGUCUGUAAAGUCAGCGGGCAAAGCCCGGGGCUCAACCCCGGCCCGCCGUUGAAACUGGCAGUCUCGAGUUGGAGAGAAGUAUGGGGAAUGCGCGGUGUAGCGGUGAAAGGCAUAGAUAUCGCGCAGAACUCCGAGUGCGAAGGCAGCAUGCCGGCUCCACACUGACGCUGAGGCACGAAAGCGUGGGUAUCGAACAGGAUUAGAUACCCGAGUAGUC